AAAAUUCUACUGAUGGAGUUCCAAAACUUUUGCAGUAAUCACUUAUAAGAACUGUACCUCCAGGCUUCAACCAUUUGAAGAAAGAUUUGAACAAUGCAGGUUUGUCCUGACAAAAUGUUGCAGACAGAUUUAUUUAUCAAAUCUCUUUUCAUAAGACAGGUCAAAGCAUUACAUAAAACUCUACCUGCAAUUGUUUGAAAAAAAGUUCCAAAAUAAAGAAUUAUCUUAGCAGCAAAUAGAUGAUAUCUUACUUGAAUAUGCAGAAUUGUGUCACGACUGUAGAUCACAUCAAAUGAGUUUUCAGGAUAUGUUUUCUUGGUGCAAUCAGCUACUUCAAAUUCGACUGAACAUUUGAGUCCAAUAGCUCUUUCAAGAGCAAAAGAAAUCAUAUUUAUAGAGAGAUCAAUUCCAAC
rnacentral:lncRNA from 1 species